CGGGAAGUGGCUCAGCUUGGUAGAGCACAUGGUUUGGGACCAUGGGGUCGCAGGUUCGAAUCCUGUCUUCCCGACCA
rnacentral:tRNA from 1 species